GUACGUACUGGCAUCGUCGGUUUCUCCCUUCUGACGAACCAUGAUGUCAUUUAUUUGGUGUCGUGGGGAAUCAGGACUGUUACUUUGAAAAAAUUAGAGUGUUUAAAGCAGGCUCACGCUUGAAUACAUUAGCAUGGAAUAAUGAAAUAGGACGUUUGAUUCUAUUUUGUUGGUUUCUAGGAUCGACGUAAUGAUUAAUAGGGAUAGUUGGGGGCAUUAGUAUUCAAUUGUCAGAGGUGAAAUUCUUGGAUUUAUUGAAGACUAACUACUGCGAAAGCAUUUGCCAAGGAUGUUUUCAUUAAUCAAGAACGAAAGUUAGGGGAUCGAAGACGAUCAGAUACCGUCGUAGUCUUAACCAUAAACUAUGCCGACUAGGGAUCGGAUGAUGUUAAUUUUUUAAUGACUCAUUCGGCGCCUUACG
rnacentral:rRNA from 1 species